AAGACAGAAGGGCAUUUGGCAGAGUUAGUCAUAAGGAAGUCUGCAUGGUAUACUUUACCAAAAGCAGCUCACAUUUCAUUAAGCCCUGAUGUUUUAGUCACUUUAAAGAAUGAAUUAACAAUAGUCCAAUCCAAAAGAACUAGAAAGGCAUCAGACACAUUGAAAGCACAGGUAUUACCAACAUUAACCUAUUAAUUUCAAAUCACUUUUUUUUAUUUUAAAGCAGUCUGUUUUUAUGUGUACAGUUGUUUUCUUAUAGAAUCACUUUCUCUGUGUACAGUAAGUAGCUAAAUGUGUCAGUUUACUAGUUCUAUUUCAUAGGAUGAGAGACUUUUAAAGCUGGAAGCAUCUGUAGAACUUAGCUCUUUCAGCCCUUUCCAUUUAUAAAUGAGGGGACUGAGGCCCAAGCCAUUCAGUGAGUUAGAGAGAGAGCCAGCCCUCAAAUGUUUAGAUUCUUCACCCGUGAGCCAGCAUUUUUAUUUCUUUCUACUAUAUUAGCUACUAGUGUAAAUAAUGUGCCUGCCUUGGUUUUAAAUUUUGUUUUUCAGAUAUUGGAAGAGGUGCCUGGAGAAAUGGAUGCUAGAAGAAAACACUGGAAGGAGAAUAUGUUUACUCCUUUUUUUAGUGCACAAGAUGUUCUAGAAGAGACUUCUGAGCCUGAAUCUUCUUCUGAACAAACGACUGCAGAUAGCAGCAAGGGAAUGGAAGAAAUUUAUAAUUUGUCCAGUAGAAAGUUUCAGGAAGAAAGUAAAUUUAAGAGGAAAAAAUAUAUUUUCCAACUAAAUGAAAUAGAACAAGAACAAAAUUUAAGAGAGAACAAGAGAAACAUUUCAAAGAAUGAAACAGACACAAAUUCUGCAUCCUAUGAAUCAUCUAAUGUGGAUGUUACAACAGAAGAAAGCUUUAACAGCACAGAAGAUAACUCUACCUGCAGUACAGAUAACUUACCAGCUCUACUAAGACAAGACAUAAGAAAGAAAUUUAUGGAAAGAAUGUCUCCAAAACUUUGCCUGAAUCUUUUGAAUGAAGAACUGGAAGAACUUAAUAUGAAAUACAGAAAAAUAGAAGAGGAAUUUGAAAA
rnacentral:lncRNA from 1 species